rnacentral:lncRNA from 1 species
CUACUCCAAGGAAGUCUCAGCACCCCCAUCAUUUAAGGCUGCAUCCCACUAAUUCAGUCACUGGACAAAGAGAAAGAAUUGGAGGAGGGCUAGACUACACUGGCUGCUCUAUCUGCCUCGGCUUCAGUAAUGGGGAAGAGUAUAGCAGAACCCCAGAGACCAAUUUUCCACUUCCAUUUACCAAGCCAAAUAGGAAGGCUGUGUCACAAGGAUGCUUGUCUUUCAUGAAAAAGUCUAACCACCACACUAACUACCCUUGAGAAGGCCCUCCUGAGAAAUAAACUGCAUCUUCGUUGAUGACAA